AUAUAUAUAUAUAUAUACAUAUAUAUAUAUAUAUAUAUAUCUUAUGUAUGCUACAGAUAUUUUGGCAGUUAAUACUAUGAUUUCUUAUGACAUUUUCAGAUAUCCUAACUGUUAUUUUGCCCUCCUCCCUCCUUUUCAUAACAGCUGUGGUGAGUGUAAAAUUGUUACUAGUUCAACCAAUUUGUGUUUUGCUUUGUGUUUAUGUUCUGUGAAUUUGUGGCUAUAAAUCAAGAUUUUAUAUAUAUUUGUGAUUUACCCAUGUUUUCAUUUUAAAGUGAAAGAGAAUUCUGUCUAGCUAAUAAAAAGCAAGAAAGCCUUACAUAGUUAACAUCAUAACAUUAUAUUAAAAUAUUAGAAACAAGAGGGCAAGGAAAGGAUGUCACCACAAGUUUCAUGGUCCAGGAUGACCACCAUCCCUGCUCAGUGCGACCUCUAUGCUCCAGGAAUUGAUCCAUGAAUGGGUACUUAUUGGUGUUGGCCAUGGGAAAGGAACAUGUCUCUCGAAGUCUGAGAUCCAAACUCUCAUCUCGUACUGAGCUUCCAGAUGUUGGAAUGUGUAUGAUGACUACAUACCUAGGUGGCUAUGAAAGAUGGGCAAAAAUAAAAGAGAGGGAACACACUGAUAUUCUUCAUGGUUGAAGAAAGGAAACCAAAUGCACCCAAGAGGACUCAGAUGCUGCAGGCAAUUUAUGAAGCAAGAGGUAUGUACAACAAGGCAUACCUUCAGACAUUAUAUGAAGGCAAGUGGGCAACAGAAAGAAGUGCACUGGAAGAGAAGAGAAUGCCCCCAGAAGAGAUAACAACUAUCAAAUAUGUGUAUUUAGAUUGUUUACUACUUGUUAACAAUGUAGACACUUCUGUCUCACUGUCAGGAAAGUUACUGUCCCUCAGUGACUUGUGUGGAUAGAUUCUUCAGGAGAACUUGAAGAAUGCCACUGAGAAGUGGCUGGUACAAGUGUGUAAAGCUACCACAUACUUCAUACCCACAUAGCAUUCUGGAGCUCCCUUUGGGAUUCAGGCACUUCACUUGUGGGUAAUAGAGUAUCUGUUUUCACAGUGCAGCUCUGGACAUUACUUGAAUUACCACAGAAGUGCCAAUAAACAACCUGGCAUAUA